AAGAAAACUUGAACACCAAAACUUGAACUCCAAGCUCAGAGAUUGCCCUACGUGGAGCAAGCGAGCCCCUGCAGAGAGGGCAAGUCAUGUGACCAUGAGCUAUCCAUCUAUCCAAGCAAACUUUAUGAAAGAUAUGGCUACAUCUUCUUGAUUCUCUAAUCUCUUCUCCAUGUUCAAUCUUGCUUAGACAAACUGCACAUUCUAUGGCUUCACUACUUGGGUCGCACUUAUAGUAGCACUGCCUUGUGCUUAGCUCUUCAUCACCAAAAUCUUUUGGCUUGGAAAGGUGAUGGUCUUGGAAGAGAGGAUUCGGAAUCAAUAAAUUCAAUGCCCAUUUGAAGUGGGUAGAGAUCAAACUCAAGUAUUUGAACAUGGGCUUGAUUGAAAGUUGCAGAAGAAAGAACA
rnacentral:misc_RNA from 1 species